UUAAGCGACUAAGCGUACACGGUGGAUGCCCUGGCAGUCAGAGGCGAUGAAGGACGUGCUAAUCUGCGAUAAGCGUCGGUAAGGUGAUAUGAACCGUUAUAACCGGCGAUUUCCGAAUGGGGAAACCCAGUGUGAUUCGUCACACUAUCAUUAACUGAAUCCAUAGGUUAAUGAGGCGAACCGGGGGAACUGAAACAUCUAAGUACCCCGAGGAAAAGAAAUCAACCGAGAUUCCCCCAGUAGCGGCGAGCGAACGGGGAGCAGCCCAGAGCCUGAAUCAGUGUGUGUGUUAGUGGAAGCGUCUGGAAAGGCGCGCGAUACAGGGUGACAGCCCCGUACACAAAAAUGCACAUGCUGUGAGCUCGAUGAGUAGGGCGGGACACGUGGUAUCCUGUCUGAAUAUGGGGGGACCAUCCUCCAAGGCUAAAUACUCCUGACUGACCGAUAGUGAACCAGUACCGUGAGGGAAAGGCGAAAAGAACCCCGGCGAGGGGAGUGAAAAAGAACCUGAAACCGUGUACGUACAAGCAGUGGGAGCACGCUUAGGCGUGUGACUGCGUACCUUUUGUAUAAUGGGUCAGCGACUUAUAUUCUGUAGCAAGGUUAACCGAAUAGGGGAGCCGAAGGGAAACCGAGUCUUAACUGGGCGUUAAGUUGCAGGGUAUAGACCCGAAACCCGGUGAUCUAGCCAUGGGCAGGUUGAAGGUUGGGUAACACUAACUGGAGGACCGAACCGACUAAUGUUGAAAAAUUAGCGGAUGACUUGUGGCUGGGGGUGAAAGGCCAAUCAAACCGGGAGAUAGCUGGUUCUCCCCGAAAGCUAUUUAGGUAGCGCCUCGUGAAUUCAUCUCCGGGGGUAGAGCACUGUUUCGGCAAGGGGGUCAUCCCGACUUACCAACCCGAUGCAAACUGCGAAUACCGGAGAAUGUUAUCACGGGAGACACACGGCGGGUGCUAACGUCCGUCGUGAAGAGGGAAACAACCCAGACCGCCAGCUAAGGUCCCAAAGUCAUGGUUAAGUGGGAAACGAUGUGGGAAGGCCCAGACAGCCAGGAUGUUGGCUUAGAAGCAGCCAUCAUUUAAAGAAAGCGUAAUAGCUCACUGGUCGAGUCGGCCUGCGCGGAAGAUGUAACGGGGCUAAACCAUGCACCGAAGCUGCGGCAGCGACGCUUAUGCGUUGUUGGGUAGGGGAGCGUUCUGUAAGCCUGCGAAGGUGUGCUGUGAGGCAUGCUGGAGGUAUCAGAAGUGCGAAUGCUGACAUAAGUAACGAUAAAGCGGGUGAAAAGCCCGCUCGCCGGAAGACCAAGGGUUCCUGUCCAACGUUAAUCGGGGCAGGGUGAGUCGACCCCUAAGGCGAGGCCGAAAGGCGUAGUCGAUGGGAAACAGGUUAAUAUUCCUGUACUUGGUGUUACUGCGAAGGGGGGACGGAGAAGGCUAUGUUGGCCGGGCGACGGUUGUCCCGGUUUAAGCGUGUAGGCUGGUUUUCCAGGCAAAUCCGGAAAAUCAAGGCUGAGGCGUGAUGACGAGGCACUACGGUGCUGAAGCAACAAAUGCCCUGCUUCCAGGAAAAGCCUCUAAGCAUCAGGUAACAUCAAAUCGUACCCCAAACCGACACAGGUGGUCAGGUAGAGAAUACCAAGGCGCUUGAGAGAACUCGGGUGAAGGAACUAGGCAAAAUGGUGCCGUAACUUCGGGAGAAGGCACGCUGAUAUGUAGGUGAAGUCCCUCGCGGAUGGAGCUGAAAUCAGUCGAAGAUACCAGCUGGCUGCAACUGUUUAUUAAAAACACAGCACUGUGCAAACACGAAAGUGGACGUAUACGGUGUGACGCCUGCCCGGUGCCGGAAGGUUAAUUGAUGGGGUUAGCGCAAGCGAAGCUCUUGAUCGAAGCCCCGGUAAACGGCGGCCGUAACUAUAACGGUCCUAAGGUAGCGAAAUUCCUUGUCGGGUAAGUUCCGACCUGCACGAAUGGCGUAAUGAUGGCCAGGCUGUCUCCACCCGAGACUCAGUGAAAUUGAACUCGCUGUGAAGAUGCAGUGUACCCGCGGCAAGACGGAAAGACCCCGUGAACCUUUACUAUAGCUUGACACUGAACAUUGAGCCUUGAUGUGUAGGAUAGGUGGGAGGCUUUGAAGUGUGGACGCCAGUCUGCAUGGAGCCGACCUUGAAAUACCACCCUUUAAUGUUUGAUGUUCUAACGU
rnacentral:rRNA from 1 species